UACGAAGGGGGCUAGCGUUGUUCGGAAUUACUGGGCGUAAAGCGCACGUAGGCGGGCGAUUAAGUCAGGGGUGAAAUCCCGGAGCUCAACUCCGGAACUGCCUUUGAUACUGGUCGUCUAGAGAUCGGAAGAGGUGAGUGGAAUUCCCAGUGUAGAGGUGAAAUUCGUAGAUAUUGGGAAGAACACCAGUGGCGAAGGCGGCUCACUGGUCCGAUACUGACGCUGAGGUGCGAAAGCGUGGGGGAGCAA
rnacentral:rRNA from 1 species